GGGUAGCAACGGUAGCUUUCCAGCCUCAUAAGCUGUGAAUUUGUUGGUUCGAUUCCAAUCAUCGCAACCA
rnacentral:tRNA from 1 species